UACGGAGGGUGCAAGCGUUAAUCGGAAUUACUGGGCGUAAAGGGCGCGUAGGUGGAUAUUUAAGUUGGCUGUGAAAUACCUGGGCUUAACCUAGGAAGGUCAUCCAAGACUGGGUAUCUAGAGUCCGAGAGAGGGUAGUGGAAUUUCAGGUGUAGCGGUGAAAUGCGUAGAUAUCUGAAGGAACACCAGUGGCGAAGGCGACUACCUGGCUCGAUACUGACACUGAGGCGCGAAAGCGUGGGGAGCAAACAGG
rnacentral:rRNA from 1 species